GCCUCACAACGCCGCGUGGUAUUUGCAUUUCGGGCAUCGACUAGAAUAUGCUAGCAACAUUGUAGUAUAUAUUUUUACUGGCUACUGCUACAGGCUGCUCGGGAAUUGAACAUUUUCUGAGAUGCCGCCGUCCGUAAACGUUUGUCGCCGGGUGUACACGUCACUGCGUAAUUUCCUUGCUCCCACAGUGCAGGUUAUGGCGCGUCAUAAUGCUAAGUAGUAACACCGUUGAUUGUAAAUUUUGAAGAAAAUUUUCCUCUUUUUUUGCGGCAGUUACCGGUCAUCAUGCUAAACGCGUAUAAAUGUGCAGGCCAUGCAGGCUCUCGGACAGCGACAAGCUGCCGUGCAACCGGGACAAGCAGAUGACACAGCAGUAGCGCCACCGCCUCUCCCGUCUUCAUUAUUGGCUGCCACGUCUGCGGCAGUGCCGAGUCACGGCAUGACGCAGACAGGCGGCGAACAGAUCUCUCCCGAUGCGGAUUGCGCUGACAACGCUACCGAGAACGCGGCGCCUCAAGUGGACGAAUCGGAAUCCGACUGGCAAUCCACGAGCGCGUAUCGGGGUUACAUGCAGACGCAGCUGAAGUCUGGAUGCGGAAACUCGGCACCCCCGAUUCCUGGAGUAACGGAUGACGCGAGUGCUUUAGCCGCCCGUGAGCCGGUGAGCGACGAACGGAAUCUUGUGGAGCGAAACUCCUGCUACCAAGAAAACCAAGCGAACAAGGACUUGAUGGAGGCCCCGCAAUACCAGCUCCUCAAUCGAGACGGUCUGGGUGACCGCACACCGCGGCGAAGUCAACCUGAACGCCAGAAGUCGCAAGAACUGCCUUUUGAGAACGCAGGAAACGCCUUUGCAGAAGGAACAGUCUGUCACGAGGAAAAGAUGGAUCAUCAGGAGACAGAGGAGGAACAUCUGGUCAUUCGAGAGCGAGAGGCGGGCGACUACUUCGGAGACCCGACGCCAAGGAUGUCAAGACUGACAACACUGCUGGCUGCGCAAAGUGCCAGCAAACUUCUGGGCCCUAAACAUAGCACUAGGACCCGCGAGCGUUCGAGAGGGCCUCCACCGCACCAAUUCUUGGCGGGACCAGCAUCGUCCGCCAUUGUGCCGCAAACGCAACCAGGCGCGAAAAAACCAGAAAGAUCGACUUGCAAGAGUUCCUCCCCGAAUUCAACAGUAUCUCGGGCCAGAUCGAAAGACUCAAGAUCGGCACGCGAUCAUCCAAAGAAUACAUCGGGCAAGCACGACGAGGUCAAGGUCGUACUUCGGCAUUGCAACGACGAGACGAAAAGCACAUGUCAACCGGCGUAGGAUCGCACAAUCUCUUCCGGUGCUCCCCACCAUUUUCGUCCUCUGUGCAAGCCACGACCUUCAUGGCUGGUCCUCCGCUUAUGUGGAAGGACCAUCGGCAAGGUUCAUCCUAUACGAUACCUGCUGACAAGUUUGGCUGGGACGGCUUGGAACGUAAGCUGGAAGACUUGAAGAUUCACACGCAUGUAGAGAUAAAUCAGCACCCGGUCGUCGAACAGCAGCGAGCAGCCUACAACUACACAGUCUACCAACACUCACCGAUCCCGUGGAUGGUGGGAAACCAUGGCUUCAUCCAUUGCUCGGAUACGACACGGCCACACAAUCCAAUGCUACAACACCUGGAUGGCAUUGCAUAUGGAACUGGAACCAGCAACGUGCAUUCACAUGGACCACCGUCACUACUCACAUUAACCCUAACUGCAGCGCCGCUAGUCGCAACACCAUGGAUGACGUCUGCAGUCGGCGAAUGGAGAAACUUGAACCACCGGGACUCCCGAGGCAGGCUUUGAAGCUCAUAGAGUUCCACCUCAGCAACUUCAUGUUCGAUGAACGCAAAAAGAAAAAAAAAUGCCAGGGUGUCAGGCCAAAAGGAAAGCCGGUACAUUAGAGACGGCUGUUGUAAUGAAAAAGCUAGACAGUUUUCAGCCAGCAGUAUUGAUUUCAUAUCCACUGAGAUGGAAAUAGGCUGAAGGAUGUUGGAGGCCAGUGGUGAUGUGUAUAUGUAUGUAGUUAUGAACAGCCAUUUGAAGCUUUCAUUCUGCACUCCAAAAUUAACAAAGUGUCUGCAUUGUCUCUCUGCUUUGUUUUGUCAUAUACGC